CAGCUCCUAAACUGGAGUGGUCAAUCCCAUCUUGACACACGCACCGACAAGUCAAGUAUUUGACUACACCCAGCAGCCUUCCGUUACUGAAUUAGAAAUUCAGGUAGUCCAGUGCCUAAGUGCAGUGAGUUGCUUGCAAGUCACCGUGGUGGUCUCAGGUCGGAGGGACAUUUAUACCCAUAUCCCAUCGGAGCAAAUCUUGACAGCAGAAAUAGC
rnacentral:lncRNA from 1 species